rnacentral:rRNA from 1 species
GACGAACGCUGGCGGCGUGCCUAAUACAUGCAAGUAGAACGCUGAAGGAAGAGCUUGCUCUUCUUGGAUGAGUUGCGAACGGGUGAGUAACGCGUAGGUAACCUGCCUGGUAGCGGGGGAUAACUAUUGGAAACGAUAGCUAAUACCGCAUAAUAGUAGAUGUUGCAUGACAUUUGCUUAAAAGGUGCAAUUGCAUCGCUACCAGAUGGACCUGCGUUGUAUUAGCUAGUUGGUGAGGUAACGGCUCACCAAGGCAACGAUACAUAGCCGACCUGAGAGGGUGAUCGGCCACACUGGGACUGAGACACGGCCCAGACUCCUACGGGAGGCAGCAGUAGGGAAUCUUCGGCAAUGGACGGAAGUCUGACCGAGCAACGCCGCGUGAGUGAAGAAGGUUUUCGGAUCGUAAAGCUCUGUUGUAAGAGAAGAACGAGUGUGAGAGUGGAAAGUUCACACUGUGACGGUAUCUUACCAGAAAGGGACGGCUAACUACGUGC